rnacentral:rRNA from 1 species
AGAGGAAGUAAAAGUCAUAACAAGGUUUCUGUAGGUGAACCUGCAGAAGGAUCAUUAGGGAAUUUUCAAAAAGAAAAAAAUCGGCAGAGACCCCUUUCGAGGGUGUCUAUGUCGUAUUCUUCUCUCCACAACACCGUGAACCCUCGAAAGAGGCGUAAUCUUUUUUACAUAAACUCAUUCAGUUCAUGAAAGUAUAUACAAAAAAACAAAAUAAAACUUUUGACAACGGAUCUCUUGGUUCUCCCAUCGAUGAAGAACGCAGCGAAACGCGAUAGGUAUUGUGAAUUGCAGAAUCAGGGAAUCAUCGAAUUUUUGAACGCACCUUGCGCUCCUUGGUAUUCCUCGGAGCAUGCCUGUUUGAGUGUUGAUAGCCUCUCCAAACUUUUAUUUUUUGAAUAAAAGCUUUGGGUCCUUGGGCUUGUAGCGGGUCUCCUCGUUACUUGCCUUAAAUAUAUUCAGAAGAUCUGAAUUUGGAUGUUAAGCAUGAUAUCCUCAUUUGAACUUYGAACUUCAACCUAUUCAUACAACCUCAAAUCAGGUAGGACUACCCGCUGAACUUAAGCAUAUCAA